UGUUGGGGCUUUUCUUUUGAGAUUUUUAUUUACGGUAAAAAUUUGUCUGCCCUAACUU
rnacentral:tRNA from 1 species